UUAUAUUAGAUAUAUGCAUGAGGACUUGACUUUGAUCCUUUUGAUUGAGAUGAGGAUCGUGUAGGUCAUGAGAGAGAGUUGUACCAGAACAAUGGAAAGCACUCUUAUCAUAUCCAAAUUUACAUAAAGGACAGGCAAUCAGCAAAAGGAAUAAACCUAAUCGUGUCAGCAAAGGCUUCAACGCCCUUCUGCAAAUAAAAGCUCCACCCAUGUUCUUUAUGAAUAGGUACCCAAGUCUGAGGUGCCAUAUGUCAGUUGAGGUGGUGUUAUAAUUUAACACAAUGGAGUUGGAGGAUGGAGGACUGUGAGACCUUCUAGAAUUGCUAUUUUGAUUGAGACACCUGUAAACAAGCACUCCUUCUGCAGAUCAGCUAGGCCAGUCAUCAUCAUGGAAAUGAGGUCGUCCAGGUAACACUUGUGAGAAGCAAAAAUAACAUGACAAUGAGCUACUUUUGUCUGUUUACUGAAAUGAGAUUAAAUUUUUGAAAUUAGGUAGUAGACAUUGUCAAGGGCCAACAAGGGACAUAAAAUGACUCAUCCAACAUGGGUUGCAUAAAAAAGUUUUAUCAUUAGGUAGCUUGAUAGGAAAUGGUGAAAGUAGUUUGGACACGUUGAUCAUAUGAUUCAGUGAAGAACUCAUAUGAUCAGUAUCCUUGCUGUCGACAAUCCAAAAAUUGGUAUGGUUACAAGAUAUACCUGAAAAACUGGCUUGGGCAGAUUAUCUGUCUUUGAGGAGCUGUUUGAUUUAGAUACUCAUCUGUAGUCAAUGUUUGAGCAGAAUCACAAUUGGAUUCCUUGAGUGAAUUUGCAAUGAUGGACUUUGCCUUAUCUUCAUCAACUCGAUUUGUAGAGGAAGAUCUGUCUGAUCUCUGUUUUUCUGCCUUUCAUAUUUGGAGCGAUUGAGUUUGAAGCAUCUCUCCUUACACUGCCCUAAGAUGCAACAGUAACUACAAUAGUAUUGUUGUCUUUUGAUCAGCAUUGGGGACAGCAAAACUGACUUGUGCUUUAGUAUUGAUCUGAACUUGGCUUCUCUCUGCUUUUUUUCUUGCCAAAGCAGUGAGAAAACCUCUGCAACUGAAGUUAAAGGAUCAAUCAAAAGUAUCUAAUCUUUAAUUGCAUUGAAGACCCAUCAGAAAUUGGAUGACACAGUCUUCCUGCUUUCUUUCUGCGAUCAGUUUCAGUGUUCCACAUGAGCACCCCAGAAGAGGAUCAUAGGAAUUCAACUCGUCCCAAUAGGCUUUCAGUUUAGUGAAAUUGGUGGCCACUGAAGAAACAUCUAGAGUUAAACGACUAAUCACAGACUUAAUCUGGUAUUUCCUUGGAGCUGUGCCCUGCUGAACCUCUCUUCCUCAAGUCGACCCAGAUUUCAAGUGUUGUAGAUGCAUAGAUAACACUAGUGGCAAGUUCACGAGAAAGAGAGUUCAGGAUCCGUGACGGUACCAUAUGACUGCAACGCCUCCGAAAAAUGAAUUCAGCUAAGGAAGCGUCUUGUUUGGCAGAGAUCAAUUUGACCAAUGCCAGCUUAUUCUUGGCAGACAACAUGACCAUUGCGACUCCAUGUUGCAUAGUUGUCACAGGUGAGGAGCUGGGAAACCAACACAACUCCUUGAUUGUCUGAAUGAAAUAGGGGUUGGAAAAUUCUGAAGCGUUAAGGUCAGAUGAAGACUCUGAUCCUGUAGAGAAGCCAGAGUUGGCUGUGUUGUUUAGUGGAGAUUCAGGGCCUGUAGACAACAUGGCUUUGAUACCUUGUCAAGAGGAAGACUCUGCAGAAGUGAAA